CCACGCCCGCUCAGAAACUACAAUAGAAUUGACGGGGCCCGGCACAAGCGGAGGAGCAUGUGGUUUAAUUCGAUGAUACGCGAGGAACCUUACCUGGGCUCGAACGUAAGAUGACUGUAGGUGAAAGCUUACAUCUCUUCGGAGCAUUUUACGAGGUGCUGCAUGGUUGUCGUCAGCUCGUGCCGUGAGGUGUCGGGUUAAGUCCCAUAACGAGCGCAACCCCUACCUUUAGUUGCCAUCAGGUUAAGCUGGGGACUCUAAAGGAACUGCCUACGCAAGUAGUGAGGAAGGCGGGGAUGACGUCAAAUCAGCACGGCCCUUACGUCCAGGGCUACACACGUGCUACAAUGGCCGAUACAGAGGGCAGCUACCUGGUGACAGGAUGCAAAUCUCCAAAGUCGGUCUCAGUUCGGAUCGGAGUCUGCAACCCGACUCCGUGAAGUUGGAUUCGCUAGUAAUCGCGCAUCAGCCAUGGCGCGGUGAAUACGUUCCCGGGCCUU
rnacentral:rRNA from 1 species